UGAGGAGACCGCACUUCCGCCUCGCUCACGGCCUCCCCGGAAGUGGCCGCCGCCGGCCCGGAAGAAGAAUCCAUAGCCCAGUUUCCUUCAUGGAGUACCUGUGAAGUGAACUUGCUUGGGGCUGAAACCCAUUGACAAGACACCAUCCCAUACCAACUUCAUGGCUGCUGCUUCACUGGCCCCUCCAAAUCUCAGGCAAAAUGUCUCUUGUGGCCCCACCCUAACUGGAUAUCUACAGCCUAAACAAGAUUAUAUUUACACCAAAGAUUUGGAAGUGCUAAUGUUUCUGAAAAAUUUAAUCUUAGAAAAAUAACCAAAGAAAUGGAAAAGCGCUAAUUAACAAGCAUGUUCAAAUGCCUACAGUUGUUGUUACCUGAAUUCAAGGGCAGAAUUACCACAUGCCCCUCAGCAUACCCCAAAUUCAAACAAUAUAAUUUAAAAUUGAUGUAAGUGUCACAGACCAGUGGAACAGAUUAGAGACUCCAGACAUUAACCCAAACAUAUAUGGUCAAUUAAUAUACAAUA